AUUGAAUCCGGAGCAUCUGUGGCUGUCCAUGUGGCAGUCUCAACACCAACCAGGGCUGUAGCUCCCAUGAGGCGAGUGAGAUGAUCGCCUCAGGAAAUAUGUCAUCAGUUUCAUCUCCACUAACCGUAGCGGUGACAUCUUGAAGCUCCGCCCAUGCUCCGAAUCGGGCCCAGAAAGGAAGAUACCGAAGAGGAUAGCCAGAGAACCGGAGCACCGAACAUGAUCAGAAUUCUCCAGUAUCUCACCUGGCGGACUCUCUGUUGAGGUGAAGUUAGGUUUGCAGAGCUCACACCUAUUAUUAAAUGCUCCAUGCUGGGAGCAGUAAUACCCAUCUGGACAGACACAGACCGGGGCCUGGAUGGCAGAACAUGGUGUUUUCUCUACUA